UACGAAGGGGGCUAGCGUUGCUCGGAAUCACUGGGCGUAAAGCGCACGUAGGCGGAUUGUUAAGUCAGGGGUGAAAUCCUGGAGCUCAACUCCAGAACUGCCUUUGAUACUGGCGAUCUCGAGUCCGGGAGAGGUGAGUGGAACUGCGAGUGUAGAGGUGAAAUUCGUAGAUAUUCGCAAGAACACCAGUGGCGAAGGCGGCUCACUGGCCCGAUACUGACGCUGAGGCACGAAAGCCAGGGGAGCGAACGGG
rnacentral:rRNA from 1 species